rnacentral:rRNA from 1 species
UACGGAGGGGGCUAGCGUUGUUCGGAAUUACUGGGCGUAAAGCGCACGUAGGCGGCUUUGCAAGUUAGAGGUGAAAGCCCGGGGCUCAACUCCGGAAUUGCCUUUAAAACUGCAUCGCUAGAAUUGUGGAGAGGUAAGUGGAAUUCCGAGUGUAGAGGUGAAAUUCGUAGAUAUUCGGAAGAACACCAGUGGCGAAGGCGGCCCGCUGGGCAGUGGCUGACGCUGAGGCGCGACAGCGUGGGGAGCAAACAGG